UACGUAGGGUGCGAGCGUUAAUCGGAAUUACUGGGCGUAAAGCGUGCGCAGGCGGUCGUGCAAGACAGGUGUGAAAUCCCCGGGCUUAACCUGGGAACUGCGCUUGUGACUGCACGACUGGAGUGCGGCAGAGGGGGGUGGAAUUCCACGUGUAGCAGUGAAAUGCGUAGAGAUGUGGAGGAACACCGAUGGCGAAGGCAGCCCCCUGGGUCGACACUGACGCUCAGGCACGAAAGCGUGGGGAGCAAACAGG
rnacentral:rRNA from 1 species